UUAAGUUAGUUUAUAAAAAAAUAUCAACCUGUGGACUUGACGAAAAAAUUUAAUUUUACUUAACC
rnacentral:tRNA from 1 species